CAGGCCUGUUGUUCAGUUUACCUGAGAAGCUCGAGUGUGAGGAGGCUCUCAGAAGCUGCUCUUGAGUUCCUAUACCAACGAUUUAGGGCCUUUCACCACUAAGCCAAGUUUUACUGCCUGUGCAAAUUUCUGGAGGAAAGGAAAGUGACCUUUGAAGAGUUUCUACAGCUGCCAUAUCCCAGCCUGAAAAGUCUUUCCGCCUUCAUAAAAACUUCUCGGUAAUUAAAAAGCAACAUGGCUAUGAAGAUUGGCUCCCUGUUUUCACGCCUGAGAGCAUAUGACUCGCCUCCUCGGAUCAUGCCCAAGGCCUAUCUGGUCCAACAGCAGCCACUGCCACGUGCUCCUGGAAAGCUCAAAACCAGAGCAUGACAAAGGAGGUCCUUUGCCACCAGAGAAACCCAGAAGGGAUUCUUCCUCUCUCCUCCUAGUAACAGAAACUUGGGGGUCGAUGAAACCAAUUGGCAGUAGAUUCAGGAAAGACAAAAGAAAGGACUUCUUCACAAUGCAUUACAGACCACAAGAUGAGGCGAUGGUCACUGUCUUAGAUGACUUUAAAAUAGUUGUGGGGAACACCUGCCCCCCCCUACUCAAUCUUGCUAAAAUACAAUUCCCAUCAGCCCCUGGAAGCACGGCCAAUAGGCAGGGAUAAUGGGAGCUGUAGUUCAGCAAUAUCUGGAGGGCGCAAUGUUCCUCACACCUACUUUAAAGGGAGAUUAGGGUGGCAUUAACAGCCUCUUGCUUGCCCAAAAGAGUUCAGAUAAUGUGUGUGUUCUCCAAGCAAAGUCCCUCUCUGUGUCCCCCUCCCUCAAGGACCCACUAUGCUCACCUGGGCUACAGGAAGAAGGUAGCAGUGACAGUGGUCCCCCUCUUCAGCAGAGUGGCAUUUCUCACUCAGGAAGGGCACCACUGAUUGGCAAAAACUGAUGCCAACAGCGUAUUUAUUAUCUUUUUAAUGAAAUAAAUAACAAAUUCCUGCCAAAGGGAGUUGCAACUCCAUCACCUCCCCCUUCCUGUGCACCUGAUAACUUAAAUGUGGUUGCCUUAUACGGGGCCAGGUCAUUUGUCCAUCCAGCUUGGUAUUGCCUGCACUGACUGGCAGCAGCUCUCCAGAGCUUCAGGCAGAGGUCUUACCCAGGGACUGAACCUGAGACCUUAAUCAUGCAAAACAUCCUCUGCUGCUGAGCAAUGGCCCUUCUCCAAGGAGGCAUGGGUAAGUGCAUGAGAUACAGACUGCAUGGGCCUUGCUUGCAGCAGGCACUUCUUACCCACCCCUGAAGUAAACAUGCUCACCAAUAAAUAAAAGCUCUCAAACAGGCAGAGUGAAAGCAAGCACCUACCUC